CGCCUAACACAUGCAAGUCGAACGAAGUAGCAAUACUUAGUGGCAGACGGGUGAGUAACAUGUAGGUAUCUGCCCUUUGGCCUGGAAUAACACGAGGAAACUUGUGCUAAUACCGGAUAAGUCUUUACGGAGAAAGCUUUAUGCACCAUUGGAUGAGCCUGCACUUGAUUAGUUUGUUGGUAGGGUAAUGGCCUACCAAGACUUUGAUCAAUAGCUGAUUUGAGAGGAUGAUCAGCCACAUUGGGACUGAGACACGGCCCAAACUCCUACGGGAGGCAGCAGUGGGGAAUCUUGCACAAUGGAGGAAACUCUGAUGCAGCGAUGCCGCGUGAGUGAAGAAGGCCCUUGGGUUGUAAAGCUCUUUCGUCGGGGAAGAAAAUGACUGUACCCGAAUAAGAAGGUCCGGCUAACUUCGUGCCAGCAGCCGCGGUAAUACGAAGGGACCUAGCGUAGUUCGGAAUUACUGGGCUUAAAGAGUUCGUAGGUGGUUGAAAAAGUUGGUGGUGAAAUCCCAGAGCUUAACUCUGGAACUGCCAUCAAAACUUUUCAGCUAGAGUUUGAUAGAGGAAAGCAGAAUUUCUAGUGUAGAGGUGAAAUUCGUAGAUAUUAGAAAGAAUACCAAUUGCGAAGGCAGCUUUCUGGAUCAUUACUGACACUGAGGAACGAAAGCAUGGGUAGCGAAGAGGAUUAGAUACCCUCGUAGUCCAUGCCGUAAACGAUGUGUGUUAGACGUUGGAAAUUUAUUUUCAGUGUCGCAGCGAAAGCGAUAAACACACCGCCUGGGGAGUACGAC
rnacentral:rRNA from 1 species